GACGAACGCUGGCGGCGUGCUUAACACAUGCAAGUCGAACGGAAAGGCCCUGCUUUUGUGGGGUGCUCGAGUGGCGAACGGGUGAGUAACACGUGAGUAACCUGCCCUUGACAUUGGGAUAACUUCAGGAAACUGGGGCUAAUACCGGAUAGGAGCUACUGCUGCAUGGUGGGGGUUGGAAAGUUUCGGCGGUUGGGGAUGGACUCGCGGCUUAUCAGCUUGUUGGUGGGGUAGUGGCUUACCAAGGCUUUGACGGGUAGCCGGCCUGAGAGGGUGACCGGCCACAUUGGGCCUGAGAUACGGCCCAGACUCCUACGGGAGGCAGCAGUGGGGAAUAUUGCACAAUGGGCGGAAGCCUGAUGCAGCAACGCCGCGUGCGGGAUGACGGCCUUCGGGUUGUAAACCGCUUUCGCCUGUGACGAAGCGUGAGUGACGGUAAUGGGUAAAGAAGCACCGGCUAACUACGUG
rnacentral:rRNA from 1 species